rnacentral:rRNA from 1 species
UAGUACGAGAGGACCGGAGUGGACGCAUCACUGGUGUUCGGGUUGUCAUGCCAAUGGCACUGCCCGGUAGCUAAAUGCGGAAGAGAUAAGUGCUGAAAGCAUCUAAGCACGAAACUUGCCCCGAGAUGAGUUCUCCCUGAGACUUUAAGUCUCCUGAAGGAACGUUAAAGACGAUGACGUUGAUAGGCCGGGUGUGUAAGCGCAGCGAUGCGUUGAGCUAACCGGUACUAAUGAACCGUGAGGCUUAACCUUAC